GCUAGUGGCUGUGUCCAUGUCUUGUCCUGCUUCCAUGGAAACACAAGUCAGAGCAGCAAAUGCAAGGUCUCAGAUGAAUUCCUGAAUGUUUUGAAGCAGAGAAAAUAGAAAAGAGAACUCUUUGUCUGUGGAUUCCUCCUGGGCUUCUUCUUUCUUUUUUAACUGAAACAGCUGUUACUACCAUUCUGGAACUCUGAAAAUGUAGUUCUGGCUGGCCCAAUAGGUUAUAAAGAAACUUCAUUUCAUAAAAAAGACAAAACCUCUUUUUUUUCUACUUGAUACACCUCUUGUUCCUCAUCAGCAGUUUUAUUUAAUCUGGUCAUUAAAAUUACUGAGAACCGCCA